rnacentral:rRNA from 1 species
GGGGAAUAUUGCGCAAUGGGGGCAACCCUGACGCAGCAAUACCGCGUGAGUGAAGAAGGUUUUCGGAUCGUAAAGCUCUGUUAUUGGGGAAGAAAAAAAGACGGUACCCAAGAAGAAAGUCCCGGCUAACUACGUGCCAGCAGCCGCGGUAAUACGUAGGGGACAAGCGUUGUCCGGAUUUACUGGGCGUAAAGGGCACGCAGGCGGUUUUUUAAGUCAGAUGUGAAAGGUACCGGCUCAACCGGUGACAUGCAUUUGAAACUGAAAGACUUGAGUAUUGGAGAGGCAAGUGGAAUUCCUAGUGUAGCGGUGAAAUGCGUAGAUAUUAGGAGGAACACCGGUGGCGAAGGCGGCUUGCUGGACAAAUACUGACGCUGAGGUGCGAAAGCGUGGGGAGCAAAC